rnacentral:rRNA from 1 species
CCUACGGGAGGCAGCAGUGGGGAAUUUUGGACAAUGGGCGCAAGCCUGAUCCAGCAAUGCCGCGUGAGUGAAGAAGGCCUUCGGGUUGUAAAGCUCUUUUGUCAGGGAAGAAAAGGGAUUGGCUAAUAUCUGGUCCUCAUGACGGUACCUGAAGAAUAAGCACCGGCUAACUACGUGCCAGCAGCCGCGGUAAUACGUAGGGUGCAAGCGUUAAUCGGAAUUACUGGGCGUAAAGCGUGCGCAGGCGGUUUUGUAAGACUGUCGUGAAAUCCCCGGGCUUAACCUGGGAAUGGCGAUGGUGACUGCAAGGCUAGAGUUUGGCAGAGGGGGGUAGAAUUCCACGUGUAGCAGUGAAAUGCGUAGAUAUGUGGAGGAACACCGAUGGCGAAGGCAGCCCCCUGGGUCAAAACUGACGCUCAUGCACGAAAGCGUGGGGAGCAAACAGGAUUAGAUACCCUGGUAGUCCACGCCCUAAACGAUGUCUACUAGUUGUCGGGUCUUAAUUGACUUGGUAACGCAGCUAACGCGUGAAGUAGACCGCCUGGGGAGUACGGUCGCAAGAUUAAAACUUAAGGAAUUGACGG